rnacentral:lncRNA from 7 species
GAAAUGGGGUCCUCAGACCCCUUUUUGGGGGUACAACCGAAGGAAUUGGGGUCCCCAGAGCACUUUUUGGGAUACAGUCACAGGCAAUGGGGUCCUUAGCACCCUUUUUGGGGCACAACUGAUAAAAAUGGGGUCCCAAGACCCCUUUUUUGGGGGUACAACCAAAGGAAAUGGGGUCCCCAGAGCCCUUUUUGGGGUACAACCGAAGGAAAUGGGGUCCUUAGCACCCUUUUUGGGGUACAACUGAAGGCAAUGGGGUUCCCAAAGCACUUUUUGGGGGUACAACCGAAGGCAAUGGGGUCCCCAGAGCCCUUUUUGGGGGUACAACCGAAGGAAUUGGGGUCCUUAGCACCCUUUUUGGGGUACAACUGAAGGCAAUGGGGUUCCCAAAGCACUUUUUGGGGGUACAACUGAAGGCAAUGGGGUUCCCAAAGCACUUUUUGGGGGCACAACCGAAGGCAAUGGGGUCCCCAGAGCCCUUUUUGGGGGUACAACCGAAGGAAUUGGGGUCCUUAGCACCCUUUUUGGGGUACAACUGAAGGCAAUGGGGUUCCCAAAGCACUUUUUGGGGGUACAACCGAAGGAAAUGGGGUCCCCAGAGCCCUUUUUGGGGGUACAACCGAAGGAAUUGGGGUCCUUAGCACCCUUUUUGGGGUACAACUGAAGGCAAUGGGGUUCCCAAAGCACUUUUUGGGGGUACAACCGAAGGAAAUGGGGUCCCCAGAGCACUUUUUGGGAUACAGUCACAGGCAAUGGGGUCCUUAGCCCCCUUUUUGGGGCACAACUGAAGGCAAUGGGGUCCCGAGACCCCUUUUUUGGGGGUACAACCAAAGGAAAUGGGGUCCCCAGAGCACUUUUUGGGGGUACAACCGGAGGAAAUUGGGUCCCCAGAGCCCUUUUUGGGGGUACAACCGAAGGAAUUGGGGUCCUUAGCACCCUUUUUGGGGUACAACUGAAGGCAAUGGGGUUCCCAAAGCACUUUUUGGGGGUACAACGAAAGGAAUUGGGGUCCCCAGAGCCCUUUUUGGGGUACAACCGAAGGAAAUGGGGUCCCCAGAGCCCUUUUUGGGGUACAUUGUUCCCCUCCCAAUUUGGGGUACAACACCGCGAACACAAUCGUCCCCUCCCACCGCCACCCCAAGAAGACACCGCACUCCUUCAGCCCUCGGCCACCAUCGCCGCCAUGUUGUCACCAUCACACCGUCACCGUCACGUUGUCACCGUUACAUCAUCACCUCCAUGUUGUCGCCGCCGCCAUGUUGUCACCGCCAUGUUGUCACCGUCACACCGUCACUGUCACGUUGUCACCGUCGUCACCGUCACAUCAUCACCGCCAUGUUGUCACCGUCAC